GGAUUCUGAGCGAUAACAGCAAGAACCACUCACCAGGCUGUUCAGGAAGCAGAGGGCUCUGUGAGGGGCUCUCGAACGCACACCAACAAGCCUGUAGGAGACCCUGGCUGUGCUUCUGUGACUAUCAGCUGUGGCCACAUGAGCAGUGCCUGAUGGAUGUGGACGGCGUGAUUCAUGGUGGCCUCUCUCCAGAGCUCUGAGAGUGCCAGGGGUGAUGAGAUGGAAGUCCAGAGAUGGGGCCAGAGGAGAUGGCCCUGCUUAUGUCUAAGCCUCAGCCACCGCUGGGAGUCUGCCCACCUAGCGGACUGCCGGAAGAAACGAUUUGCCUGAGAAGUUGAAGAGCCUGCAGAUGGGAACUCAUCCCAGAGGGCAGAACCCAGCCGAUUAACCAGACCCAAGACCAAGCUCUAGUUCUCAGUAACACAGAUGGGUCUUCAUCCCAGCCUUCUACUGACUCAAUAUUCAGGUCCUGGGAGAAAGACGUCUGUGAGAAAACACGAAAAGGCUAUUUUUGUAAAAGAACUCAAUAUACGGAAGUAUUCGUGAUUUAGAUGGGUGUCAGAAUCCAGCCAUCAAGUUGAAAUAGGUUAAUUUGGUCUUACCAGCUGUGUCUCAGUCAUCUGGAAGAAUAUAUUGACACAAGAAGUAACUAUGAGUACACUCUUUAGAAAUUGUGUUUGCAGCUGGUG